AUGCAGGGUUUGCCAGGUAUAGGCCGUGCGACAGCGGUCACCGGAUCCAAGAAUUGCAAGCUUCCUUCUGCCAGACCGAGCGGACACGAGGAGUUUGUGCGGCGGUGUGCAUGGCCACACGUGUGCCAUGAACUACAUCACACAUGGACGUGGCCGCAUCCUGACGUGUGCCCUCGCCGUGAGCACGUUGCACAGAGGGUUUCGUCUCCAUCUGUCCAAGUGUCAUGUUCCAUGCUGCGAAAUAAAAUUUUGUUUACAGGCGACGUAGAAACAAACAAGAAUCUAGAUCGGACGCGGCUAAUCUGCACCUGGACUCAUCUGCACCCCCCUCACGAAAAAAAUCAAAACAAAUAA
rnacentral:rRNA from 1 species